GAUCAUGGUUCAGGAUGAACGCUGGCGGCGUGCCUAACACAUGCAAGUCGAACGAGGCAAUUAAAAUGAAGUUUUCGGAUGGAUUUUUAAUUGACUGAGUGGCGGACGGGUGAGUAACGCGUGGAUAACCUGCCUCACACUGGGGGAUAACAGUUAGAAAUGACUGCUAAUACCGCAUAAGCGCACAGUACCGCAUGGUACGGUGUGAAAAACUCCGGUGGUGUGAGAUGGAUCCGCGU
rnacentral:rRNA from 1 species